rnacentral:rRNA from 1 species
AACGAACGCUGGCGGCGUGUCUUAAGCAUGCAAGUCGAGCGGCAAGCAGUAGCAAUACUGCCUAGAGCGGCGGACGUGGUGAGUAACGCGUGGGUGAUCUCGCCGUUGGGAUGGGGAUAGCCGUUAGAAAUAGCGGGGUAAUACCGAAUACGUUCGUCGGACUACGGUCCGAUGAAGAAAGGCGCUUUGGCGCCACCCGAGGAUGAGCCUGCGUCUCAUUAGCUAGUUGGUGGGGUAACGGCCUACCAAGGCGAUGAUGAGUAGCCGGCCUGAGAGGGUGUACGGCCACACUGGGACUGAGAUACGGCCCAGACUCCUACGGGAGGCAGCAGCUAAGAAUAUUCCGCAAUGGACGAAAGUCUGACGGAGCGACGCCGCGUGGAUGAUGAAGGCCGUGAGGUUGUAAAAUCCUUUUGCUGGGGAAGAAUAACCAUGGGAGGGAAUGCCCGUGGGAUGACAUGAACCGGCGAAUAAGCCCCGGCUAACUACGUG